rnacentral:rRNA from 1 species
GACGAACGCUGGCGGCGUGCUUAACACAUGCAAGUCGAACGGGCCCGCUCUCUUUUUUGGGGGUGGGUUGAGCGGCGAACGGGUGAGUAUCACGUGAGUAACCUGCCCCCUGCUCCUGGAUAACUGCUUGAAAGGGCGGCUAAUACGGGGUGUGCCGGCUGGUCCGCAUGGGCCUGGUCGGGAUAGUUUCAUCUUCGGGUGUUUCGGUGGGGGAUGGGCUCGCGGCCUAUCAGCUUGUUGGUGGGGUGAUGGCCCACCAAGGCGGUGACGGGUAGCCGGCCUGAGAGGGUGGGCGGCCACACUGGGACUGAGACACGGCCCAGACUCCGGCGGGAGGCAGCAGUGGGGGGUAUUGCACAAUGGGCGGAAGCCUGAUGCAGCGACGUCGCGUGAGGGAUGGAGGCCUUCGGGUUGUGAACCUCUUUCUCCGGUGGUGAAGGCCCUGUCCGUUGCGGCGGGGUUGACGGUAGCCGGGUAUGAAGCGCCGGCUAACUACGUG